rnacentral:rRNA from 1 species
GACGAACGCUGGCGGCGUGCUUUACACAUGCAAGUCGAACGGUGAAGGAAAGCUUGCUUUCUGGAUCAGUGGCGAACGGGUGAGUAACACGUGGGCAAUCUGCCCCAGACUCUGGGAUAACUCUUCGAAAGGAGGGCUAAUACCGGAUAUCCGGGACUGAAGUCAUCUUCGGUUUCGGAAAGUUUUUCGGUCUGGGAUGGAGCCCGCGGCCUAUCAGCUUGUUGGUGAGGUAACGGCUCACCAAGGCAAAGACGGGUAGCCGGCCUGAGAGGGCGACCGGCCACACUGGGACGGGGACACGGCCCAGACUCCUACGGGAGGCAGCAGUGGGGAAUAUUGGUCAAUGGACGAAAGUCUGAACCAGCAACACCGCGUGAGGGAUGAAGGUCUUCGGAUUGUAAACCUCUUUCAGCAGGGACGAAGCGAAAGUGACGGUACCUGCAAAAGAAGCACCGGCUAACUACGUGCCAGCAGCAGCCGCAG